GUCAUACUCCCUCCGUCCCAAAAUUCUUGUCUUAGAAUUGUCUAGAUACGGAUGUACCUAAUACUAAAACGUGACUUGAUACAUCGGUAUCUAGACAAAUCUAAGACAAGAAUUUUAAGACGGAGGGAGUACAAU
rnacentral:pre_miRNA from 1 species